GACGAACGCUGGCGGCGUGCUUAACACAUGCAAGUCGAACGCUGAAGCUCAGCUUUUGUUGGGUGGAUGAGUGGCGAACGGGUGAGUAACACGUGAGUAACCUGCCUCCUUCUUUGGGAUAACGCCCGGAAACGGGUGCUAAUACUGGAUAUUCACUGGUCUUCGCAUGGGGGUUGGUGGAAAGGGUUUUUCUGGUGGGGGAUGGGCUCGCGGCCUAUCAGCUUGUUGGUGGGGUGAUGGCCUACCAAGGCUUUGACGGGUAGCCGGCCUGAGAGGGUGACCGGUCACAUUGGGACUGAGAUACGGCCCAGACUCCUACGGGAGGCAGCAGUGGGGAAUAUUGCACAAUGGGCGCAAGCCUGAAGCAGCGACGCCGCGUGAGGGAUGGAGGCCUUCGGGUUGUGAACCUCUUUCGCUCAUGGUCAAGCCGCAACAAUGGUUGUGGUGAGGGUAGUGGGUAAAGAAGCGCCGGCUAACUACGUG
rnacentral:rRNA from 1 species